rnacentral:rRNA from 1 species
UUGAACGCUGGCGGCAUGCCUUACACAUGCAAGUCGAACGGCAGCGCGGGCUUCGGCCUGGCGGCGAGUGGCGAACGGGUGAGUAAUACAUCGGAACGUGCCCUGUUGUGGGGGAUAACUAGUCGAAAGAUUAGCUAAUACCGCAUACGACCUGAGGGUGAAAGCGGGGGACCGUAAGGCCUCGCGCAAUAGGAGCGGCCGAUGUCUGAUUAGCUAGUUGGUGGGGUAAAGGCCUACCAAGGCGACGAUCAGUAGCUG